rnacentral:rRNA from 1 species
AUAAAGUAUAGUUAGUGGCAGACGGGUGAGUAAUGCAUAGGAAUCUACCUAGUAGUAUGGGAUAGCCACUAGAAAUGGUGGGUAAUACUGUAUAAUCCCUGCGGGGGAAAGAUUUAUCGCUAUUAGAUGAGCCUAUGUUAGAUUAGCUAGUUGGUAGGGUAAAGGCCUACCAAGGCGAUGAUCUAUAGCUGGUCUGAGAGGAUGAUCAGCCACACUGGAACUGAGAUACGGUCCAGACUCCUACGGGAGGCAGCAGUGGGGAAUAUUGGACAAUGGGCGCAAGCCUGAUCCAGCUAUGCCGCGUGAGUGAGGAAGGCCUUAGGGUUGUAAAACUCUUUCAGUAGGGAAGAUAAUGACGGUACCUACAGAAGAAGUCCCGGCAAACUCCGUGCCAGCAGCCGCGGUAAUACGGAGGGGGCAAGCGUUGUUCGGAAUUAUUGGGCGUAAAGGGCAUGUAGGCGGUUCGGUAAGUUAAAGGUGAAAUGCCAGGGCUUAAC